AGUGAACGCUGGCGGUAGGCCUAACACAUGCAAGUCGAACGGCAGCACAGUAAGAGCUUGCUCUUACGGGUAGCGAGUGGCGGACGGGUGAGGAAUACAUCGGAAUCUACUUUUUCGUGGGGGAUAACGUAGGGAAACUUACGCUAAUACCGCAUACGACCUACGGGUGAAAGCAGGGGAUCUUCGGACCUUGCGCGAUUGAAUGAGCCGACGUCGGAUUAGCUAGUUGGCGGGGUAAAGGCCCACCAAGGCGACGAUCCGUAGCUGGUCUGAGAGGAUGAUCAGCCACACUGGAACUGAGACACGGUCCAGACUCCUACGGGAGGCAGCAGUGGGGAAUAUUGGACAAUGGGCGCAAGCCUGAUCCAGCCAUACCGCGUGGGUGAAGAAGGCCUUCGGGUUGUAAAGCCCUUUUGUUGGGAAAGAAAAGCAGCAGGUUAAUACCCCGCUGUUCUGACGGUACCCAAAGAAUAAGCACCGGCUAACUUCGUG
rnacentral:rRNA from 1 species